AACAAACAAAAUUUGGGGCUAAAUCAAGCCCUAAACUAAAUUGGGUUUUGGGACCCGAAUCAAAGGUCUACCUAGACUAUAAUCGAUAUUUUGGAUAUGCUGGCGCAGUUGAAAUUUUCAUCCGAGAUCGUUUCGCUGAAGUUUUUGAUCGGUGGUCAUUUGGAACCAACGAAGACUUCUAAUAGGGAGUUGACUCUAAAAACUAAACGAACUGCCUG
rnacentral:lncRNA from 1 species